rnacentral:rRNA from 1 species
AACGAACGCUGGCGGCGUGCUUAACACAUGCAAGUCGAACGGUAAGGCCCUUCGGGGUACACGAGUUGCGAACGGGUGAGUAACACGUGGGUGAUCUGCCCUGCACUUCGGGAUAAGCCUGGGAAACUGGGUCUAAUACAGGAUAGGACCACUGCCUGCAUGGGUGGUGGUGGAAAGCUUUUGCGGUGUGGGAUGGGCCCGCGGCCUAUCAGCUAGUUGGUGGGGGAAUGGCCCACCAAGGCGACGAUCAGUAGCUGGGCACAGAGGGUGACCGGCCACAUUGGGACUGAGACACGGCCCAAACUCCUACGGGAGGCAGCAGUGGGGAAUAUUGGACAAUGGGCGCAAGCCUGAUCCAGCGAUGCCGCGUGAGUGAUGAAGGCCUUAGGGUUGUAAAGCUCUUUCGUCCGGGACGAUAAUGACGGUACCGGAAGAAGAAGCCCCGGCUAACUUCGUGCCAGCAGCCGCAGUAA